UUCUUUCUGAAACUAUUAGAUCACUGUGGUCUACAUGGACGUGGGCCUCCCAGAUCCCCCUUGAGGAAGGAAUGUCACCCCAGCUGCUAUGAGUGCCAGCUCACAGCCCCUUCAUGCACUCCUCAGCAGCAGGGAGCCACCUCACCUGAGGGCAAGAGGUUCACAGGGCAGCCCAUGUCCAGGUUUGGAUAAACUGGACUCAGCCAGGCUUGGUUUUAUUCCAGGAAAGUGUGACAGAAGAGAGAGGAGUCAAGGAGGAGAGGACAUUUUCAAGGAGGUGAUUGGGAUGAUAAGCCCUGUGAUCUAAAUGAGUAAGAAGGAAAAUAAAAACAGGAGGUGUCGGCUAGAUAAUGAGCAAGUGGUUGAUGGUUUGGGGAUACUGAUGAGGCUGACGACUAUGUCAGGGAGCUGGAGCUAGGAGAGGAGGUAUGGGUCAGAGAUGGGGUUUUCUGAAACGGAUUCCAGAGGUGGUGCUGAUUGCAGUAGCAACAAGGUAGUUUGUGAUAACAAGAACAGAUUGGCUACAAUGAAGUGAAGGGAAAAGCAACUGGGCAUGAGACUUUCAAGGAGCUGCAAGCCUGGGGUUUAGAGGUCCUCUCAUUGUGCACACAUCUCAAUAUUUUGUGGUUGUUGGCUCAUCUUUCCAACAAGUCUGUAAUUCUCUGCAGGAAGAAACUACAUUUAUCUUGUCACCGCUCCCUCCCUAAUGCCCAGCACAGUACCUGACCCACACAAAUACUCAAUAAAUAUUUACUGAAUGAA